AUAGGAUUAGAUACCCUAGUAGUCCACGCCGUAAACGAUGAAUACUAAGUAUUGGGGAAACUCAGUGCUGCAGCUAACGCAAUAAGUAUUCCGCCUGUGGAGUAUGCACGCAAGUGUGAAACAUAAAGGAAUUGACGGGGGCCCGCACAAGCGGUGGAGUAUGUGGUUUAAUUCGACGCAACGCGAAGAACCUUACCAGGCCUUGACAUCCCUUGCAAAGCUGUAGAGAUACAGUAGAGGUUAUCAAGGAGACAGGUGGUGCAUGGUUGUCGUCAGCUCGUGUCGUGAGAUGUUGGGUUAAGUCCCGCAACGAGCGCAACCCUUGCCUUCAGUUACCAGCAUUCAGUUGGGGACUCUGGAGGGACUGCCGGUGAUAAACCGGAGGAAGGUGGGGAUGACGUCAAAUCAUCAUGCCCCUUAUGGCCUGGGCUACACACGUACUACAAUGGCUGUUACAACGUGCAGCGACCUAGCGAUAGGAAGCGAAUCACUAAAAGACAGUCUCAGUUCGGAUUGAAGUCUGCAACUCGACUUCAUGAAGCUGGAAUCGCUAGUAAUCGCGGAUCAGAAUGCCGCGGUGAAUACGUUCUCGGGCCUUGUACACACCGCCCGUCAUACCAUGAGAGCUGGUAAUACCCGAAGCCGGUGGCCUAACCGCAAGGAAGGAGCCGUCGAAGGUAGGACUAGUGAUUGGGGUCAAGUCGUAACAAGGUAUCCCUACGAGAACGUGGGGAUG
rnacentral:rRNA from 1 species